UUAGCAGAAAUUAGGAAUGGGACUCGGAGCUUCUAAUGAGCGCUAAAGCCAUGACAGCGGCAACCGGUGAGCAGAGAUAGCGAGGGGAAGAUUCAUCGCUACGUAAAGAUUCAUUAUCACAUGCAGGACCAAAAUCUUGCCCAAAUGAGGGGAAGGGAGAGGCUGGAGGGGUAGCCAAGGAGAAAUCUUCAGUCAAAAGGCAAAAUAAAUCGCGAUGGCCUUGAACGUGCUUGGAGACUGACACAGCGCCGGCUGAAGAGUUCCUGGGAAAUGGAAAUGCAAAAUCGCAUUUAUCAUAUUCCACAAAGUCGGUAGACGCUGAAACUGGAAAGCUCCAGACGCAUCAGAAAUACGAAUAGCUCCGCAUAAUAACUAAAAUAAUGCACUGAGCAUGCACCAACCUUAUCUCCGGCACACAAAACGCCGGAAAAUCCAAUCCUAAUAGCAGUGGAAAGGUCGUAAGUGAAUUCAGGGACCUACGAGCUCUUGAGAAGAGAGCUCCAGACAACCUUUGCAGUCAGGGGACGUUCGGAUGAGGCAGACAGCCGCGUGUGAGGCAGUGCCACGUACGCCCCACGGCGC